GACGAACGCUGGCGGCGUGCCUAAUACAUGCAAGUAGAACGCAGUUGCGAACGGGUGAGUAACGCGUAGGUAACUGCCUGGUAGAGGGGGGUAACUAGUGGAAACGAUAGCUAAUACCGCAUACUACCAAAUGGACCUUCGUUGUAUUAGCUAGUUGGUGAGGUAACGGCCCACCAAGGCAACGAUACAUAGCCGACCUGGGAGGGUGGAUGGCCAACACGGGAAUGGGACACGGCCCCGAGUCCCUAGGGGGGCAGGAGUAGGGAAUCAUCGGAAAUGGGGGGAACGCUGAACGAGCAAAGCCGCGGGAGUGAAGAAGGUUUUCGGAGUGUAAAGCUCUGUUGUUAAGGAAGCGGUACUUAAACAGAAAGGGACGGCUAACUACGUGCCAGCAGCCGCGGUAAUAC
rnacentral:rRNA from 1 species